AGACGUAGGGGGCGAGCGUUGUCCGGAAUUACUGGGCGUAAAGGGCGUGUAGGCGGCCUUUCAAGUCGGCUGUGAAAUACCCCGGCUCAACCGGGGGGGUGCAGUCGAAACUGGGGGGCUUGAGUGCAGGAGAGGAGGGUGGAAUUCCCGGUGGAGCGGUGAUAUGCGUAGAUAUCGGGAGGAACACCGGUGGCGAAGGCGACCUUCUGGCCUGUUACUGACGCUGAGGCGCGAAAGCCGGGGGAGCAAACAGGAUUAGAUACCCUGGUAGUCCCGGCCGUAAACGCUGGGUACUAGGUGUAGGGGGCUUUGAGGCCUUCUGUGCCGUAGUUAACGCAAUAAGUACCCCGCCUGGGGAGUACGUGCGCAAGCAUGAA
rnacentral:rRNA from 1 species